GACGAACGCUGGCGGCGUGCCUAAUACAUGCAAGUAGAACGCAGUUGCGAACGGGUGAGUAACGCGUAGGUAACUGCCUCAUAGCGGGGGAUAACUAUUGGAAACGAUAGCUAAUACCGCAUACUGUGAGCUGGACCUGCGUUGGAUUAGGUAGUUGGUGAGGUAAAGGCCCACCAAGGGGACGAUAAAUAGCCGACCUGGGAGGGGUGUCGGGCAACCUGGGAAUGAGACACGGCCCCGACUCCUACGGGGGGGAGCAGUAGGGGAUCUUCGGCAAUGGACGGAAGUCUUGACGAGCAACGGCGGGUGAGUGGAGGAGGUUUUCGGGGCGUAAAGCUCUGUUGUUAGAGAAGCGGUAACUAAACAGAAAGGGACGGCUAACUACGUGUCAGCAGCCGCGGUAAUUC
rnacentral:rRNA from 1 species